UAGUCCAUGCUGUAAACGAUGAGAACUAGCCGUUGGUUAUCUAUUGGAUAAUGAGUGGCGCAGCUAACGCGAUAAGUUCUCCGCCUGGGGAGUACGGCCGCAAGGUUAAAACUCAAAUGAAUUGACGGGGGCCCGCACAAGCGGUGGAGCAUGUGGUUUAAUUCGAUGCAACGCGAAGAACCUUACCACCCCUUGACAUCCAGAGAAGGUCUGAGAGAUUGGACUGUGCCUUCGGGAGCUCUGUGACAGGUGCUGCAUGGCUGUCGUCAGCUCGUGUUGUGAAAUGUUGGGUUAAGUCCCGUAACGAGCGCAACCCUUAUGUCUAGUUGCUAACAUUUAGUUGAGCACUCUAGAGAGACUGCCGGUGAUAAACCGGAGGAAGGUGGGGACGACGUCAGGUCAUCAUGGCCCUUACGGGGUGGGCUACACACGUGCUACAAUGGGUCGUACAGAGGGCAGCGAAGCAGCGAUGUGGAGCGAAUCUUUUAAAGCGACUCG
rnacentral:rRNA from 1 species